rnacentral:rRNA from 1 species
GAUGAACGCUGGCGGCGUGCUUAACACAUGCAAGUCGAACGGAAAGGCCCAAGCUUGCUUGUGUUCUCGAGUGGCGAACGGGUGAGUAACACGUGUGUGAUCUGCCCUGCACUUCGGGAUAAGCCUGGGAAACUGGGUCUAAUACCGGAUAGGACCUCUUCUUGGAUAUUGUUGUGGAGUGUUUUUUGGGUGUGGUAUGAGCUCGCGGUGUAUCCGCGUUUUGGUGGGGUGAUGGUCUACCAAGGCGGUGACGGGUCGCCGGCCCGAGAGGGGGUACGGGCCCAAUGGGGCUGGGAGACGGGCCAGAAUCCGAAGGGGGGCAGGAGGGGGGAAAAUUUGACAAAGGGGGGAAGCCUGAUUGAGGGAAGCCGGGGGGGGGAAGAACGCCUUUGGGUUGGAAAAACCUUUCCGUAAGGAACAAGGGUUUUUGUGACGGUACCUAGAGAAGAAGCACCGGCUAACUACGUG